UCUCGAUUCGUCUAGUGGUUAGGAUACCUGCUUGUCAUUCUCUCUACGACAGACCCUAUGAAUGGACAUGUCUCUAGUAUAGUCGGAUUCGCAGGUGGCCGGGGUUCAAUUCCCCGAUCGAGAG